rnacentral:rRNA from 1 species
CGGCUCAGUAACACGUGGAUAACCUACCCUCAGAUCUGGGAUAACUCCGGGAAACUGGAGAUAAUACCGGAUAAUCCGUGAACGCUGGAAUGCCUUACGGUUGAAAGCUUUAGCGUCUGAGGAUGGGUCUGCGGCCGAUUAGGUAGUUGCUGGGGUAACGUCCCAACAAGCCGAUAAUCGGUACGGGUUGUGAGAGCAAGAGCCCGGAGAUGGAUUCUGUGACACGAAUCCAGGUCCUACGGGGCGCAGCAGGCGCGAAAACUUUACACUGCGCGAAAGCGCGAUAAGGGGACCUCGAGUGCGUGCGCAAAGCGUACGCUUUUCAGAUGCCUAAAAAGCAUCUGGAAUAAGGGCCGGGCAAGACCGGUGCCAGCCGCCGCGGUAACACCGGCGGCUCAAGUGGUGGCCGCUAUUAUUGGGCUUAAAGGGUCCGUAGCCGGACCAGUUAGUCCCUUGGGAAAUCUUACGGCUUAACCGUAAGGCUGCCAAUGGAUACUGCUGGUCUUGGGACCGGGAGAGGCAAGAGGUACCUCAGGGGUAGGAGUGAAAUCCUGUAAUCCUUGAGGGACCGCCAGUGGCGAAGGCGUCUUGCUAGAACGGGUCCGACGGUGAGGGACGAAAGCUAGGGGCACGAACCGGAUUAGAUACCCGGGUAGUCCUAG